UACAGAGGUCUCAAGCGUUGUUCGGAUUCAUUGGGCGUAAAGGGUGCGUAGGCGGCGCGGUAAGUCGGGUGUGAAAUUUCGAGGCUUAACUUCGAAACUGCAUUCGAUACUGCCGUGCUUGAGGACUGGAGAGGAGACUGGAAUUUACGGUGUAGCGGUGAAAUGCGUAGAUAUCGUAAGGAAGACCAGUGGCGAAAGCGGCGCACUGGACCACAACUGACGCUGAGGCGCGAAAGCUAGGGGAGCAAACAGG
rnacentral:rRNA from 1 species